rnacentral:rRNA from 1 species
UACGGGGGGGGGCAAGCGUUGUUCGGAAUUACUGGGCGUAAAGGGCUCGUAGGCGCCAACUAAGUCAGACGUGAAAUCCCCAGGCUCAACCUGGGAACUGCGUCUGAUACUGGGCGGCUAGAGUCUGGUAGGGGGAUCUGGAAUUCCUGGUGUAGCGGUGGAAUGCGCAGAUAUCAGGAGGAACACCGGUGGCGAAGGCGGGAUCCUGGGCCAGUACUGACGCUGAGGAGCGAAAGCGUGGGGAGCAAACAGG